ACGAAGGGGGCGAGCGUUGCUCGGAAUUACUCGGCGUAAAGCGUGCGCAGGCGGUUGGCAAAGUCAGCUGUGAAAGCCCCGGGCUUAACCUGGGGAUGGCGGUUGAAACUAGUCGACUAGAAUCUGGCAGAGGGGGGUGGAAUUCCACGUGUAGCAGUGAAAUGCGUAGAGAUGUGGAGGAACACCGAUGGCGAAGGCAGCCCCCUGGGCUGAGAUUGACGCUCAGGCACGAAAGCGUGGGGAGCAAACAGG
rnacentral:rRNA from 1 species